rnacentral:tRNA from 1 species
UGGGAUGUAGUUGAAAUUGGUAUAAUAGAGGUGUUGCAUAUCUAAGUUAAGGGUUCAAGUCCCUUCAUCUCCA